ACAUGAUGGCAUAUAUCACAUUGGUAGAUGUGCAGGUGAACAAGCCCCCAGUGGUGGUUCCAGAAGGGGUGGGCUAAAAGACUGAAACCUGGCUGGGGGAGGGGGGUCAAAUUACCCGACACAAAGAAAACCACAGUGGUGAGUGGACUCUGUUACAGGCCUCAAAGUAGGUACCUGUACUCUGAAGAAGUAAAGUUAUAGGUACCCCUCUACACUGUGCAGUAGAAGUAACAGCAGAGGGCACUGUUCUCACCACUGCCAAUCUUCUCUCCUUUUAGAUUCCAAGGCCAAAAAGGACAUUGUGAUCAUCUAGUCUGACCUGUAUAACACAGGGCCCAGAACUUCCCCAGAAUAAGUUCAAGAGCAUAGCUCUUUACCAAAACCCUUGGUAAAUUGGUCCAAUGGUUAAUUACUCUCACCAUUAAAAAGCUAUGCCUUAUUUGCAGUCUGAAUUUGUCUAGCUUAAACCUCCAGCCAUUGGCUUAUGUUACAUCAUUCUGUACUAGAGUGAAGAGCCCCUUAUUAAAUAUUUGUUCCCCAUGUGGAUAACUAUGGACAAUAAUCAAAUCAUCCCUUAACUUUCUCUUUGUUAAGUUAAAUAGAUAGACUGAAGGAGCUCAAUCACUAUAAGGCAUGUGUUCUAAUCCUUGAAUCAUUCUUGUGGCUCUUCUCUGAACCCUCUCCAGCUUAUCAACAUCCUUUUUGAAUUGUGAGCUCUAGAACUGGACACAGUAUUCCUGCAGCUGUUGCACCAUUGCCAAAUAUAGAGGCAAAAUAACCUCUUCUACACAAGAGUCCCCUGUUUAUGCGUCCCAGGAAUGCAUUAGGCCUUCGGGCCACAGUGUUGCACUGGGAGCUCAAGUUCAGUUGAUUAUCCACCAUGACCCCCAAAUCUCCUUCUGUGUCACUGCGUUCCAAGAUAGAGUCCCCCACCUGUAAGCAUGGCCUACAUUUUCUUUGUUCUUUCAGUGGGGAGACACUAUCUUUUUUCCUCCAUCACUGUUUAUGGACAUUGGGGAACUCCUAGGAGGCACUCAAGCAUUGGACUGGGUCUGUAAAGGUGAUGUGUAAAGGAUUUUUUUAGAAGUUAGGAUUGUGUGUCCCCCCCUCCCCUUUUUUUCUUUUCUCCUUUAUGAUAUAUAAAGAGGAUCUGAAAGGGUUUGGUGUGUGAUAGGGGUUUGGGGGGGGGGGGGUGGGGGGGGGGGGGGGGUUGGGGGGGGGGGAAGGGGUUCGUUGUUACGCUAUCAGGAAUGUCAAUUCUAUUUCCUGUUGUUGAUAGAGGCCUUCUUAGGGCACGGCAGGGAAAAGGUAUUGAGUCUUAGGCAACCUUUUGCCAAGAGCUUAAUUAGCCAAUAAAGCUGAAUAGAUAUUAACAAAUUAAAAACAAAGGGUUUUUAAAUAUUCUGACUAAACAUCUUAUUUCAGUUACUCAGCUUUUACUUUUUUUGGCUCUUGUGAUGUCAACAUUUUGCUAGUUCUCUGGUCAUUAGAAUCUUCCCAAUGUAAAAGAGAGAACUAUCUUUAAAACAACUCCUUAAAGGCUGCCAUUGUACUUCAUAAAGAAGCAAAAAAAAAAGUACAAGUCAAUUUUUUCCCUUUACACUAAAACAUACCAAAUUAAUUGCUAACUAAAUACAACAUAUGAUUUAUUUUAGAUAUAAAUCCAGGUACAGAAAUGGAUAUCCUUUCAUGUACUUGAAUUGAAACAAAAUAGCAUAUGGUGUAGGAAGACAGGUUUUACUCCAAAACAGCAAGUGCUUACUCAAAUAAUUCAAUUAAAUACACUUGUGUGCUUUAGGAGUUCUGCCAUUUGCAAUUUAAUAAAGUGCUAAUUUAAUAGAAACCAUAUGUUCCCUUUCCAGGGCACUUCUCUCGAAUCUAACUCCCAAUUUAACUUAUUACCUAAGCAAGCCACUAACUCAACAUUGAAGGCUAUAGUUUAGCCUCAGAGUUUUCUCAUGGAAAAUGUUCAUUAUAAGCUUGUACAUCAUAAAGACAAUGGAAAAUGUUAAUUUGCUGAGUUUGACUAAAUUCUGUAAAAAUACCCAUAGUCUAAAGGAUUUUGUAGAUGACCUUCAUCACUAACUCACAUUAGAUCUAUAUAAAACUAACUCUUUAUUUUUAGGGAGAGUUAGUCUAAGGAAUGGCCAUGAGUCCCAGCUCACUCUAGUGUCCAGAGUCUGUACUGCAAAUCAAUGAUUUUCAGAAAUUUUAGUGAGAUGACUUUUUAGUGUAGGGCUCUUCAGGCCACUGUUGAGCCUCCUUUGGUUCAGAAGUGGAGCCUAGCUGCUUGUGCAAGGGUCAUAACAUAAGAGGAGCAUAAUGAACAAAAUCAGAGAAAUUGGGAAUGAAAAAGACCUAUCAGACCUGCCGGCUGGCUGUUUUUGGGGUACUUUUUAGUAUUCCGUCUAGUUUUGAAAGCCCUUAGCAAUGGGGCUUCUGCCACUUCUCUUGGGAGAAAAGACCAGAGUCUAAUAUACAUACCUCCCACUCUGAAAAGUUUUCUUCUUCCACCUGAAUCUGAUUUUUAUUAAUUCCAUCCCAUUACUUCUAGUUAUACCCCUGUGUACAACUCUAAAAUAACUCCCCUCCGUUCCUGAUGUUCACAUCUCUGGUGUAAUUUAAAGCUAUCAUAUCCUUAGCUAAACUACACCUAUUUAAGUCUUGUGAUCUAGCCUCAUAAGCUAAUCCCUUUAUUUACUAUGUUGCUCCCUGUAUUCAAUUGUCUCUCCCCAGUUGUGCCUUCUCUUUCCCUUCCUGCACCAGAGGUCCAUGCUGCCCCCUUACUCUCCUCACUGGAAGGUCUUCCAUGCCUCCUUUUACUCUCUCAUCUCAAAGGGGUUUGUUCACCCUGUGCUCUAACUCCCUCAUUUCUGAGUGAAGCAGCUGCUACGUCUCUCCCUUACUCUGACACCCUCCCCUUGCCCAAUGUUUCCUCCUCUCUCAGUAGCUGUUGCCACAUUGUUGAGAGUUGUUGGACUCUAGGUCCCUUUUGCCUUCGCUCUCCAUGUGUCGACAUUUUUCAGCUGAGCCAGGUGUUCAUUAAGCUACCCCCCACCUUGUGGAUGGGGGGUUCCAUUCACAACGCAGAGGAAGGGCCUACUGAGCUGCUGCUCACUCAUAGUAAUGCAAGUGUUGCUGGCAGAAGCCUACGGGGUUUCCUCACAGUCAGAAGUCAGUUGUGGGGACUGUAAUAUAUUAUUUUAUAUAGUGCUUCAUUAACGGCAUCUGAAAAAGACAGUCACAGGUUUUACUUUUAUUUGAAGAGUAAUUUAAACAAAAAGAAAUACACAUGAUACUCCCCAAGUUCAGUCACGACUUGAUUUAUUGCUUCCAAUUGUUUCAGUUGUUUUCUCAGAAGUGAAUGCAUGGCGUUAGCCUGUUUAGAAAAGGGGGAAAAGUCUUUUAUUUCUCAACAGGAGCUAUUUUUAGAUUCUGCCCAAGUUACCGACAUUAUAUCUGCAGAUCAGGCAAGGUGGUAACCUGAUGAAAAAUAAAGAGCAGGCCUAUCUCAGUGGGUGGGGGUAGAGGGGAGGGAGAUUAAUUAGAUACAUUUUGUGCAGCACUUCGAAAAUAAAAAUUGCAAUAAGUUCUAACUUAUUAACAUGAGAUUAACUCAGCAGGGUCUAACACAGGGAGUGCCCAGUCAAUACUUGCUUACCUUAUCUACAUCACAUCUGCGUUACAAUGAACAAGUCUAAGCCCAAAACAAAAAAAAGUUCUCUAGCAACUGAAAAAAAGGGUUUCCACUUUAAUGUACACAAUAAUACCCCUACGCCGUACUAAAGAAUUCAGUGCCCACAAAACACAAGCUCAUCAAAACCUUUUGUUUUCUUCCUACAGCUUGGAGACAAAUAUCAAAUAGCUAAGAGCUGGAAGAGCAUUCUGGGUAUUGGCAUGCAAAUGAACAUACCAAGCAUCCCACUUUGCUUAAGAAUUCCCAUGUCUGAAAAAAGUAGACAUUUAUCAAACAACUUGUCCUCAGGCAGCCUUAACAGAUGUACCAUUUGUAUAGAAUAUUUUUAACAUUUUAUUUCUUUGUGUUUUUUGUUGCAGUUCCUCAAUUCCGGUCACUAGAAAAACAAAGUUAAAAAGAAAUAGUUGCUGCAUUUGCCAUGGAAAGAAACAGUUGCUCUAUUUACUAUGGAAUCUCUAAUACGUAUGCUAAUGGAAACCUGUGCAGAACUAAUAACCCCUUCUAAAAAUACAGGGAUUGAUAGGGAAGCUGUGCUACGCAGAUUAGGCUAAAAGGAUCCCCCAAAAGAGGCUGGUACAAGUGGGUGGCCUGGCAUUUCAUUAGGUCUGUAACGUCCAGCAUGGUCUACUGCCUAUCACAGUAAACUUUACUAUCUGAAUGAAACACCAAAAAUCUAGAACCCCAGAUCACUGCUGCAAGGGGCCAGAAAGCAGCCAACACAAUAAGGAUUCUCUGUGCAAUGUAGGACUCGCAUAACAGCCCUAUCCCUAUCUUAUGGUUCCAGGGCAAGCUGUAUCUUUGAGACCUCAGGCCUGGUCUACUACACCACAAAGUUAGGCUGAUGUACAUUGUCUUGCAUUGACCUUAUUUGUGCAUAUGUCUGCUCUAAAGCUUGUUGUAAAUGCCCCAUUGAUUAUAUAGUAAAACCACCUCCUUAAAGAGUUAAAGCCACAGUCAACAUACUGAGGUCAAUACGGUCCAAGUGGGAUUCAACCCUAACAGUCUUCCAGCUGUUGUCCCACAAUGCCCUAUUCGCUGGGAUAGUGAAUACUCUGGUUACAAUUGUAAACUCCAUUGUCCAGGAGUCAUAGAGACGGGAAGCCAUGCCCCUAAAAACGUCCCAUGCAUUUUUGAAAUGUCUUUUCUUGAUUGCCCAUCUUGGCAAGUACACCUAGCAGUUCUCCCUUGUUGUGUGCAACUGCCCAACCAACCAUACCAACUCCACACACUUGCAGAGCUCCUGCCUGGAGAACACAGGAGAUAUAUUGGCCUGUGGGGAGAAGAGGCUGUGGAAGCACAGUUAUGGACCAGCUGUAGAAAGGUGGGCAGCUAGGAGAAGAUUGCACAGGGGAUGUACAUGAAGGGUUAGAACAGGGAUUAUCAGCUGUGCUGCAUGAAAGUGAAGGAACUGCAGCAGGCAUUCCACAAGGCCAGGGAGGUCAACAAUAGAUCUAAUGCUGAGCACAGAUCUACUACCUUUACAACAAGCUGCAUACUAUUCUCAGCAGAGACCACACCAGCACCCCCCAAACUACUGUGGCUACCCUGGAGGCCCACAAGACAGAGACCCCUGCUAAACAGCAAGGAGGAGGAGAAGAGGUGGCAGACAUGGGGACUCCAGCCAUGCCAUGAGCCAAGACCUGUUUGAUAGUCCUCAACAGUCUAACCAGCCAAACGUGGAUGAGACCGAUAAAGGGGAAGGGACCUUUGGUAACUGUGUACAGUACAUACAAUUUUCCUUAGCAAAUUAAAAUUUAAAGACGGUGCCUGGCCCAUCUCCAAGUUAACAAGCCGUGGUAUCGGCUUUCAAUUGUUUUGCUCAU